rnacentral:rRNA from 1 species
UACGAAGGGGGCGAGCGUUGUUCGGAAUUACUGGGCGUAAAGGGCGCGCAGGCGGUCCUUCAAGUCAGAUGUGAAAGCCCCGGGCUCAACCUGGGAACUGCAUUUGAGACUGGAGGACUUGAGGACGGGAGAGGUGAGUGGAAUUCCGAGUGUAGAGGUGAAAUUCGUAGAUAUUCGGAAGAACACCAGUGGCGAAGGCGACUCACUGGACAUGUAUUGACGCUGAGGUGCGAAAGCGUGGGGAGCAAACAGG